rnacentral:rRNA from 1 species
UACGUAGGGACCAAGCGUUAAUCGGAAUUACUGGGCGUAAAGCGUGCGCAGGCGGCUUUGCAAGACAGAUGUGAAAUCCCCGGGCUCAACCUGGGAACUGCAUUUGUGACUGCAUGGCUAGAGUGCGGCAGAGGGGGAUGGAAUUCCGCGUGUAGCAGUGAAAUGCGUGAGAUAUGCGGAGGAACACCGAUGGCGAAGGCAAUCCCCUGGGCCUGUACUGACGCUCAUGCACGAAAGCGUGGGGAGCAACAGG